rnacentral:rRNA from 1 species
AUCAACGCUGGCGGCGUGCCUCAGACAUGCAAGUCGAACGAUUAAACUUCCCUUCGGGGAAGAUAUAACGUGGCGCACGGGUGAGUAACACGUAGGUAAUGUACCUUUGGGUGGGGAAUAACUUAGGGAAACUUAAGCUAAUACCGCAUAAUGCAGCGGCUCCUUCGGGAGACAGUUGUUAAAGAUUUAUCGCCUAAAGAGCAGCCUGCGGCAGAUUAGCUAGUUGGUAAGGUAACGGCUUACCAAGGCUACGAUCUGUAUCCGACCUGAGAGGGUGGUCGGACACACUGACACUGAAUAACGGGUCAGACUCCUACGGGAGGCAGCAGUCGGGAAUUUUGGGCAAUGGGCGAAAGCCUGACCCAGCAACGCCGCGUGAAGGAUGAAGUCUUUCGGGAUGUAAACUUCGUAAGAAUAGGAAGAAUAAAUGACGGUACGAUUUGUAAGGUCCGGCUAACUACGUG